UAAGUUACGCUACAAACAAGACGCUUUGUGUAGAACAGUAGGAAUAACAAGUAAUAGAUAUAUGGCUUUACUGAAAGACAUUGGACGGAUCCCUUCUUAAGACCUUGCGAUGUAGGAUACAUGAUGUUAAGGCCCUUUCUUUCUUUGGUCAACGGUUAAAGAGCAGGGUGUCAUGUGGCCAGCACAACGACCUUUACUUUCUCCAACUAAAGUCAGAUACAGUGACAAGGCAUUCUGUGUGGUCAUCUAACAGAAGGCAGGAGAGCCGCUGGUCGUCCACUUCUAAGAUCUACUGAUGUAUGGAAACGCGACAUGAAGCUCUUCAAAAUCGACUUUAAUAGCUGGGAAACAGUGGCAUUGGAUGAGCGAGCGAACACGGAAUGGUCCCGGAUUGCAGAUGCCACACACAACAGUAGUAGAAAGAAGGGUGAAAGUACAACGGCGCCAGGUGAUUACAUAUACCCAACCUGUGGCCGCAGCUGUGUAUCAAGGAUUGGCCUCUUUAGUCACACAAGAAGUUGCAAAGGGAAAAGAUCAUCUCUCGAGACGUAAAAUGCCUCAGAGACAGACAGUGAUUGUAUAAAACACACACACAUACACGCAGCCCACUACCAGUGUUUAAAAAAUGUACAGUACCUUUGUGUGUGUGUGUUUGCGUUGUUGCAACUUCUUUGUUUACGACAGUGCAUGUGUGGGUACUACUAAUGACUGGCGGAUUGAGGGGGAGGGGGGGCCACUACUGAGUUUGUAUUGCUCGCCUUUUUUUUUUCUUUUCACGUUCAACCCAGUUACAUAUUUAUCAAGCAGAACACGUAAACAGCGUUAUCAUUCUUAUAACUCCCUCCACAAACACGCCCACAUCCUCCCUUGCCCCCUCAUUGACCAGAUCCAACAACAUCCUGUUUCUUGUCCUGGACAAAGGUCAAGCCGACAAACUAAACUUACGAGUAACCUUUUCUGACCCCAUUUCACCCCGGUAUUGAGUUUCAGGAUUACGAAAACAAUUUUGUUUUCACAAGUCACAUCCCUGCCACCACACACGAGAUAAGGCACUCACACCUAUAUUGUACAUACAAACACACACACGCACGUUUACGUGUGACAAGUGACAAGAGAAAAAAAAAGAGUAAAAAAAAAAUCUUAAAUAGACCUGAAUUAAAGUAAUGAGUGGCUUAUUUUUUUUUACAUUUAUU